GUUUGAUCAUGGCUCAGGAUGAACGCUGGCGGUCUGCUUAACACAUGCAAGUCGAACGGGGGUAGAAAUACCCUAGUGGCGGACGGGUGAGUAACACGUGAGAAUCUAGCUUCAGGUUCGGGACAACAGAGGGAAACCGCUGCUAAUACCGGAUAUGCCAUUUUUUAAAUGGUGAAAGAUUAAUUGCCUGAAGAUGAGCUCGCGGCCGAUUAGCUAGUUGGUGGGGUAAGAGCGUACCAAGGCGACGAUCGGUAGCUGGUCUGAGAGGACGAUCAGCCACACUGGGACUGAGACACGGCCCAGACUCCUACGGGAGGCAGCAGUGGGGAAUUUUCCGCAAUGGGCGAAAGCCUGACGGAGCAAGACCGCGUGAGGGAGGAAGGCUCUUGGGUUGUAAACCUCUUUUCUCAGGGAAUAAGAUCUGAAGGUACCUGAGGAAUCAGCAUCGGCUAACUCCGUGCCAGCAGCCGCGGUAAUACGGAGGAUGCAAGCGUUAUCCGGAAUCAUUGGGCGUAAAGCGUCCGCAGGUGGCAAUUCAAGUCUGCCGUCAAAUCCAGUGGCUCAACUACUGACAGGCGGUGGAAACUGAAUAGCUAGAGUGCGGUAGGGGUAGAGGGAAUUCCCGGUGUAGCGGUGAAAUGCGUAGAGAUCGGGAAGAACACCAGUGGCGAAAGCGCUCUGCUGGACCUGCACUGACACUGAGGGACGAAAGCUAGGGGAGCGAAUGGGAUUAGAUACCCCAGUAGUCCUAGCCGUAAACGAUGGAUACUAGGUGUGGCUCGUAUCGACCCGAGCCGUGCCGCAGCUAACGCGUUAAGUAUCCCGCCUGGGGAGUACGCACGCAAGUGUGAAACUCAAAGGAAUUGACGGGGGCCCGCACAAGCGGUGGAGUAUGUGGUUUAAUUCGAUGCAACGCGAAGAACCUUACCAGGGCUUGACAUGUCGCGAAUCUUCUGGAAACAGAAGAGUGCCUUCGGGAGCGCGAACACAGGUGGUGCAUGGCUGUCGUCAGCUCGUGUCGUGAGAUGUUGGGUUAAGUCCCGCAACGAGCGCAACCCUCGUUUUUAGUUGCCAAUAUUAAGUUAGGCACUCUAAAGAGACUGCCGGUGACAAACCGGAGGAAGGUGGGGAUGACGUCAAGUCAGCAUGCCCCUUACGUCCUGGGCUACACACGUACUACAAUGCUUUAGACAAAGGGCAGCCAAGCCGCGAGGCCGAGCUAAUCCCAUAAACUAAGGCACAGUUCAGAUCGCAGGCUGCAACUCGCCUGCGUGAAGGCGGAAUCGCUAGUAAUCGCAGGUCAGCAUGCUGCGGUGAAUACGUUCCCGGGCCUUGUACACACCGCCCGUCACACCAUGGGAGUUGGCCACGCCCGAAGUCGUUACUCCAACCCGCAAGGGAGGAGGACGCCGAAGGUGGGGCUGAUGACUGGGGUGAAGUCGUAACAAGGUAACC
rnacentral:rRNA from 1 species